rnacentral:rRNA from 1 species
AGCGAACGCUGGCGGCAGGCUUAACACAUGCAAGUCGAGCGGGCAUCCUUGUGGUGUCAGCGGCAGACGGGUGAGUAACGCGUGGGAACGUGCCCUUCGGUUCGGAAUAACUCAGGGAAACUUGAGCUAAUACCGGAUACGUGCGAGAGCAGAAAGGUUUAUCUGCCGAAGGAUCGGCCCGCGUCUGAUUAGCUAGUUGGUGAGGUUAUGGCUCACCAAGGCGACGAUCAGUAGCUGGUCUGAGAGGAUGAUCAGCCACACUGGGACUGAGACACGGCCCAGACUCCUACGGGAGGCAGCAGUGGGGAAUAUUGGACAAUGGGGGCAAGCCUGAUCCAGCCAUGCCGCGUGAGUGAUGACGGCCUUAGGGUUGUAAAGCUCUUUUCUCCGGGACGAUAAUGACGGUACCGGAGGAAUAAGCCCCGGCUAACUUCGUG